CAAUUUGUAGCUUUUAAAAACUGCUUUGGGAAAACACGGAGGAGCUCUACACUGUUGUUUAAUGAAAUUGGACUUCCUGCCAAUUCUGUCCUCCUCAUCUCUCUUUGCCGUCAUUAUCAUUAUCAUUCCACAUCUCCUCCUUCCUCUUCUUCGGUGCCUGGUUCUCCAUCCUCUUCUCUCAGAUCGCCUUCUUCUUCAGCUCGUCGUUGUUGACGUCCUUCAAUUCCUAGAUUCUCGCCGGCCUCGCCUCCUUCCUCUGCGCAGAAUUUGGGUCUUCUGGGUUAUGCUUCUUCUCUGCAGAUAGUUAAAGUCCCUGAAUUCGAUUCAGAUAAAACUCCUAGUCUCCAACCCAUGUGGGUCGUCUUCCUCACCAGCUAUUAAUACCCAAUUCCAGUCAUUUUUUUCUCUCUAUGUUGAUUUUCGAUCAAAGCUCUCAACUUUGAAACCAACAAUUAGUUCCCAAUUGUCCUCAUUUUUCUUCUCUGUUGUUUUUCAAUCCAAAGUUUCAGUCUUUAAAUCAAAGCUCGCAACUUUGAACCAAAACCCAUAUCAUGUCUAUUGCUUUGGACAGAAAUGGGAAUAGUGGGAAUGGUAUGAUCCCACAGUCUAGGAGGUUCAUCCAUGGGAUGCCUUGUAUUUUGAUCUACGACACAAAAGGGUUUGAUCAGGAUCGUCGUUUGGAGUUGGAGGAGGACUCUAGUACCUCGAGGUCCUUGUCGGUUGGUAAUAACAGUGACAAGUCUAAUGGGUCGUCGGAGGGUGAGGUUCAGAGCUCGUUUAAAGGGCCUUUGGACACCAUGGACCAGCUUGAGGAGGUUUUGCCUGUCAAAGCUUACAUUGUCACUUGGCUGAGAAGAAUGUUUCCUAUCUUCCAAUUUCAUCACCACCUGUUCUCUCUAUCCAUCAGAAACAUGAUACUACAGGCUCUGUAGAGUUGCCUCUUUCGCUGCAGAAAAAGUUGUUUUCUGGAGAACAUACAAAAGAAUGUCUUUCGGUAUUGGAAACAAUAUUUGGAUCAGGCCCAAGCAUGGAUGGUGAUUUCAUUGUGAUAAAUUUCUUUGCUCUGAUAUCAGCUUAAUAUAUUACAUGAUUCGUGGUCAAGGAACAAUCAAAUUGUAUGUGGUGUACAAUGUGUUGGAGAGUAUGACCAAGUUGAGGAAGCUAAACCGAACUAUGGCUCAUCGCCUGUCCAUGCUGAUGACACAGGUGUCGCAGUUGGUGAAGAUCGAACGCAUUGAAACCACGGUUGCCAAGAUCGACCAGUUUGCACCUUCUAAACAAGAUAAGAGCAAGCGCUCCGAGAUUUGAUAUAUUUGGGACUUUAUACUCAUUACUUUACGAGAGUAGGAAUAUGAUUUCUUGUGAUCAUUCUCAUAGCAUUCUCUGGUUUUUUUAAUUCGAAAAACUUAUUUCCAAAUGUAGUGGUGUGAUCUAAAUAUU